CGCGUGGGAUAACAGGUUCUUGAAUUCUAAGAAUUGGCAUCAAAGGAAUCAGCCGUCACCUCCAUGUCGGCUCUUCGAAAC
rnacentral:rRNA from 11 species